rnacentral:rRNA from 1 species
UACGUAGGUGGCAAGCGUUGUCCGGAUUUAUUGGGCGUAAAGCGCGCGCAGGCGGUUCCUUAAGUCUGAUGUGAAAGCCCACGGCUCAACCGUGGAGGGUCAUUGGAAACUGGGGAACUUGAGUGCAGAAGAGGAGAGUGGAAUUCCACGUGUAGCGGUGAAAUGCGUAGAGAUGUGGAGGAACACCAGUGGCGAAGGCGACUCUCUGGUCUGUAACUGACGCUGAGGCGCGAAAGCGUGGGGAGCAAACAGG